GUUACCACUUGUAGAACACUAUGGGUUCAAAUGUACUGUAAGUGGUAGGCCUAAAUAUCUAAAUAUAUAUUUUUAAAUGCAGAGAUAGUAUAUUAAAAGCAUAUUUUAGUUCAUAUUUCAUGGUGUCUCAAAAUAGUGCACUUGAGUGCAAUUAGAUGUUCUUAUUAUUAUCUUAAGAAGUACUAAAUACGUUUUUUAGUAAUUAGAAAUUAGUGCACGGAAAUAGAGCACUUUAAGUAAAUUAUAGAAAUUUACUUUUUUUCACUUGGGUAAACCCACCUGUCACUCGACCUGUGUUCCAUCAAACCUUCUGUCAAAGUCACCAAUAAAUUGUUUGGCUUGCCUUCAGCUUUGAAUAUGUAUGACAAUGAAGUAAUUGCCAGGAUUUCUGUCAAUUGCCGCGUAGCUCAAAUUGCAGAAGAGACUAAGGAUGUAAGUUAUUCACCCUAAACCUAUGACUUACCUGUGCCAUUUAUAGGUUAUAUAAAGACUAAAACCAGUGAUUUUGCCUUUCAGGUCAUGGCCUUGAACAGAAAAAGCAACUGUAUCAGAUGUGCACUUGAAAGUUCUUGAGGUAUUUACAAAAUACAUUUUUUAACACUUUUUUUUCAGCAUAAACAUUAAGACUAAUAUUUUGAAAUAAUAUUGGCAUAACUCUUUGGCAGUGUCCUGUUUGCUUCAUUUCAGAAUGAUUCAGAGAUCCAGAAAAUACUUUUGCCAAGAAUUGUUGGAUCUGGAGAUAACCCAGAGAGGGGAUGCCACUUCAUUCUUUGGGUAACAUCAAAUGGUAUACUAAUAAACGAUUACCAUUUUUUUAUUUUGUGCUUUAGGCUGCUUGAAACUGGGCCACUAUUUUAUAAUGCAGUAGACACUGCUUUUUCAUGUAUAAAAGAUAAGUUAUUUUUACUUUACAGGUUUUUGACAUGACAAAGCAUAUCAGAGUUUAUGAUAACACCAGCCAAUAUCUGACAAUACACAACCGUGACAUGGAAAUUCUGAAAGAUGCUUUAAGAAAUAUUGCAUCCUUGGACGACUGGACUGUGUCUAGUCCACAGCAAUGGCAGAGAGACAAUGGAAGGAACUGUGGUGUUUUCGUAUGCACAAUGGCAGAGAUGGAAGCUAAAAGUUUUAAAAUGUGCCAGGAAAUUCUGCACACUGAACAGAUGGGAUCCCUUCGUCUUUACCAUGCCUCAUGCAUGGUGAAACAUCUGCAACCAGAGGACUUUUCACCCGAAGUCAAAAUAGUCCAGAGUGCAACACAGACCAGCUGUAUGGCCCAGGAUGUACUGUAGGAGUUUGCAUUUAUCAAAAAUAUUGAUCAAAGUAUGUGAUGACUGUUUAAUUUCCUUAUGAACUACAAUUUGAUUAAGCAGUUACACUCAUUGUUAUCAUUUAUCUGUAUGCAGAGUAAUGCACCCACGAAUCCAGUCGCUGGACUGGAUUCAAUGUGACCUUUGCAAAAAAUGGCUGCAUUCUGACUGCGCUGGUAUCAGUCUUGAAACGAUCACAGAGGAAACAGCAUUCAGUUGUGGAUGUGACACUAACCAUGUGCAUACCUUUGAGAAGUAUGUUAUUACUUAAAUUAUAUUUUUUUUUAUAAAAAAGUACAAUAUAUGUUUAAUACUACUUUGAUUUUACAGAACAUUGGCACUACUGAAGAAGGGCUGGUUGGUUGACCUUGUAAUACAGGAUCAAGAAGUCUUGGUAAAUAUUACAAAUUACUAAGCUAACCAUUUUACUACUAAUAUCCUAGCUAUCAUUUUUAGCAUUGUUAUUUACAAAGAGGUACUCUCUCACUGACAUUUUACUUUUGUAAUGUUUUUCAUGUUCACAUAUUGUAUAGCAAUAUAAUCUGUUAUAGCUAGUAAAGUUUACAUUUCUUACAUUUGUCUAAUUUUGGUUACAUUCCAGAGAUUGCACGAAGGCUUGAGAUCCGAUCCAGCAGGAUGUUUUUAUUUAAACAUCCCACAUUUUCUCCAAAGCUGAGGAUGAAACUUAGCAAAAAGUUUUUGUUUUUUUUUGAGGAAGAACAGUUAUUUCAUACUGUUUGCCUUGUUUAACAAUUUAUAGUUAAAAUAAGUUUAUGUUAUGCCUUAAGAACAGAAGACUGUACAGAUGCAUAAGAAAGUAUAUAUCAGAUGUUAUUUUAACAUCUCAUAUUUCAUUGGAAUGUAUUCUGUCAAUGUAGAUUUUCUACAGAAAAAUUAGAGAAUUAUGAAUGUAAUUACGAAUGUUAUUGUGUACAAAUUUAACAAAUGUUUUGCUACAGACAGAGAGGAUAAUUGAAAGAAUAUACACAGUAACACAGCUGCCUAGGGUUUCCCUGGACAACACAUCUUACGUUCUUGAAGUUUUGACCCCUGAGGUAUAUAUACAUACACUUUGAUACAGUACAUGGGACAAUAUCAUUAAACACACUGUACAUAUAUCUUUCAUAAUUGUAUCUUCUUCUUUUUUUUAAAGCUAACACUGUUAAUGCUGUAAAAGACUGAGGGCUUUCACAGGUUACAGGCAGAAAUGGCUUUACAGUCAAACAUUGCUUUGGAGUAAGUCUUUCUUUUACUGUUGUUUUUUCAUUCAUCCUUAAAACAUGUCUGAAAAGCUUAUAUCCGUGUUUUAUUUCUCUUUUAAAGGGUCAAAUGUUUAAAUCCACCAUGGUUUUGAUGGCACUUCAUCAGUAGGAGUGUAAUCCUGUAUGAAGAGGGUGGCCCGCUGAACAACUGUACUUUAGGCCAAAAGUUCUUGUAGCCCUGUCUAGUAGCCCUGUCCCCAUAUUCUUUCACAUUUCUCCUAGUAGUUUAAGAUCAAUAAUAUCACUGACAUUGAAGACUGUAUGUAAACAUUGUUAUUGAAAUAUUGAUUUAGAUACAGUACCAGUCAAAAUUUUGGACACAUUACUACUAGUCUCUUAUUAUCAUCAAGCCUGCUCAAAGCCAAUUUGAUCAAAAAUACUGAAAGCCCAGUAAUAUUGUGAAAUAUUACAAUUAAAAAUAAUAGCUUUCUAAUUUAAUAUUCUUUAAAAUAUAAAUUUUUUCAUGAUCAAAGCUGAAUUUUCACCAACCAUUACUCCAGUCUUCAGUGUCACAUGAUCCUUCAGAAAUCAUUCUAUGAUGAUUUGCUGCUAUUAUCUGUAUUGGAAACAGUUGUGCUGCUUAAUAUUAUUAUUUGUUUUGUGUGAUACUUUUUCAGGAUUCAAUGAUCAAUAAAAAGUUAAAAAGAACAGCA
ensembl:lncRNA